rnacentral:rRNA from 1 species
UACGGGGGGAGCAAGCGUUGUUCGGAUUUACUGGGCGUAAAGGGCGCGUAGGCGGCCACUGCAAGUCAGUUGUGAAAUCUCCGGGCCUAACCCGGAAAGGUCAGCUGAUACUGCAGGGCUAGAGUGCAGAAGGGGCAACUGGAAUUCUCGGUGUAGCGGUGAAAUGCGUAGAUAUCGAGAGGAACACCUGCGGCGAAGGCGGGUUGCUGGGCUGACACUGACGCUGACAGCGCGAAAGCUAGGGGAGCGAAUGGG